rnacentral:rRNA from 1 species
GAGACUCUGUGCGCGUGCAUAUCAAUAAGCGGAGGAAAAGAAACUAACAAGGAUUCCCCUAGUAACGGCGAGUGAAGCGGGAAGAGCUCAAAUUUGAAAUCUUAAAGGGUUUCCCUUUACGAAUUGUAGUUUAAAGAAGUGUUUUCUGUUGGAGUUUCGGUAAAAGUUCUUUGGAAUAGGACAUCAUAGAGGGUGAGAAUCCCGUAUUUGACCGUUACUUUCCAGCUGUGUGAUACACUUUCAAAGAGUCGGAUUGUUUGGGAAUGCAGUCCAAGAUGGGUGGUAAAUUUCAUCUAAAGCUAAAUAUUGGCGAGAGACCGAUAGCGAACAAGUACCGUGAGGGAAAGAUGAAAAGAACUUUGAAAAGAGAGUUAAACAGUACGUGAAAUUGUCAAAAGGGAAGCGUUUGACACCAGUGUUGUUUAGUUGAAAAUCAAUUCAAUAGUUUUUGAUCCUAAGUAGUAUUGACUUCAUCAGCUUGCUGCUUUCUUCUCAGAAAUUAUUGAAUGCACUUUUCAGUUAACAAGUCAACAUCAAUUUCUUUUGUUGUAAAAGGGUAAGAGGAAGGUGGCUUGCGCUUCGGCUCAAGUGUUUAUAGCCUUUUAUCUCUGCAAUCGGAGAGAUUGAGGUACAUGCAGCGUAGACUCCUUCGGGGUUAGAUACACUUGGUGCUAAGCUAUAGCCUUUUAUAGACAACAUUGUUGACUAUGCUCAGUCAUGUAGCUUACUCGCUUAUGCUAUUUUACCUACGCUUAGGAUGUUGAAGAUGUAGCACAUCAU